rnacentral:rRNA from 1 species
AACGAACGCUGGCGGCAUGCCUAACACAUGCAAGUCGAACGAAGGCUUCGGCCUUAGUGGCGCACGGGUGCGUAACGCGUGGGAAUCUGCCCUUGGGUUCGGAAUAACAGUGGGAAACCGCUGCUAAUACCGGAUGAUGACGUAAGUCCAAAGAUUUAUCGCCCAAGGAUGAGCCCGCGUAGGAUUAGCUAGUUGGUGGGGUAAUGGCCCACCAAGGCGACGAUCCUUAGCUGGUCUGAGAGGAUGAUCAGCCACACUGGGACUGAGACACGGCCCAGACUCCUACGGGAGGCAGCAGUGGGGAAUAUUGGACAAUGGGCGAAAGCCUGAUCCAGCAAUGCCGCGUGAGUGAUGAAGGCCUUAGGGUUGUAAAGCUCUUUUACCCGGGAUGAUAAUGACAGUACCGGGAGAAUAAGCUCCGGCUAACUCCGUGCCAGCAGCCGCCGUAAGAC